rnacentral:rRNA from 1 species
UACGUAGGGGGCAAGCGUUGUCCGGAAUCAUUGGGCGUAAAGGGUGCGUAGGCGGCGCGGUAAGUCGGGUGUGAAAUCUCGGAGCUUAACUCCGAAACUGCAUUCGAUACUGCCGUGCUUGAGGACUGGAGAGGAGACUGGAAUUUACGGUGUAGCAGUGAAAUGCGUAGAGAUCAUGAGGAAGACCAGUGGCGAAGGCGGGUCUCUGGACAGUUCCUGACACUGAGACACGAAGGCCAGGGAGCAAACGGG